rnacentral:misc_RNA from 1 species
CUCUGUUGCUGGGUGGCUAGUGUCUUGUUUCCAUGGAUAGGGUUCUGGUGUUUAGUGUGCCAUGGUUAGCUCUGUUUCUGGUGCUUACUACAACAUGGGCAGAAGACAGGCUAAUAAAUCCAUCCCAGUUGGAAAUGUUUGUUGACGAGCUUCCAGAUAUGCCCAGAAUCCAUGGUUUUGAUGUUGUGAAUGGUGUUCCCAAACCUAAGCGGCUAAGGAUUGGCAUGUUCAAGAAGGAAUGGAAAUUUCACCGGGACCUACCUCCAACACCGGUAUUUGCCUACGGUGUAUCAAAGAACAAUGCAACCGUCCCCGGUCCAACAAUUGAGGCCAUCUACGGCGUUGAUACCUACGUGACAUGGAAAAAUCACCUCCCUUCAAAGCAUAUACUUCCAUGGGAUCCAACAAUCCCAACUGCCGUGCCUUCCACGAAGAAGGGCAUUCCCACUGUUGUGCACCUCCAUGGUGUCAUUGGUGAACCCGAGAGCGAUGGACAUGCAGAGUCAUGGUUCACCAAUCGAUUUGCAGAAAAGGGACCCACUUGGACUAAGAAAACGUAUCAUUACCGCAACUUUCAACAACCUGG